rnacentral:rRNA from 1 species
AUGAACGCUAGCUACAGGCUUAACACAUGCAAGUCGAGGGGCAGCAUGGUCUUAGCUUGCUAAGGCCGGUGGCGACCGGCGCACGGGUGAGUAACGCGUAUCCAACCUGCCUUACACUCUUGGACAGCCUUCUGAAAGGGAGAUUAAUACAAGAUGUUAUCAUGAGUAAGCAUUUUCGCAUGAUUAAAGGUUUACCGGUGUAAGAUGGGGAUGCGUUCCAUUAGAUAGUAGGCGGGGUAACGGCCCACCUAGUCUUCGAUGGAUAGGGGUUCUGAGAGGAAGGUCCCCCACAUUGGAACUGAGACACGGUCCAAACUCCUACGGGAGGCAGCAGUGAGGAAUAUUGGUCAAUGGACGAGAGUCUGAACCAGCCAAGUAGCGUGAAGGAUGAAGGUUCUAUGGAUUGUAAACUUCUUUUAUACGGGAAUAAACGGAUCCACGUGUGGAUUUUUGCAUGUACCGUAUGAAUAAGGAUCGGCUAACUCCGUGCCAGCAGCCGCGGUAAUACGGAGGAUCCGAGCGUUAUCCGGAUUUAUUGGGUUUAAAGGGAGCGUAGAUGGGUUGUUAAGUCAGUUGUGAAAGUUUGCGGCUCAACCGUAAAAUUGCAAUUGAUACUGGCAGUCUUGAGUACAGUUGAGGUAGGCGGAAUUCGUGGUGUAGCGGUGAAAUGCUUAGAUAUCACGAAGAACUCCGAUUGCGAAGGCAGCUUACUAACCUGUAACUGACAUUGAUGCUCGAAAGUGUGGGUAUCAAACAGGAUUAGAUACCCUGGUAGUCCACACGGUAAACGAUGAAUACUCGCUGUAGGCGAUAUACAGUCUGCGGCCAAGCGAAAGCAUUAAGUAUUCCACCUGGGGAGUACGCCGGCAACGGUGAAACUCAAAGGAAUUGACGGGGGCCCGCACAAGCGGUGGAGUAUGUGGUUUAAUUCGACGCAACGCGAAGAACCUUACCAGGUCUUGACAUCGAGUGACCGCCUAAGAGAUUAGGCCUUCCCUUCGGGGACACAAAGACAGGUGGUGCAUGGUUGUCGUCAGCUCGUGUCGUGAGAUGUUGGGUUAAGUCCCGCAACGAGCGCAACCCUUGCCGAUAGUUACUAACAGGUCAUGCUGAGGACUCUGUCGGGACUGCCAUCGUAAGAUGUGAGGAAGGUGGGGAUGACGUCAAAUCAGCACGGCCCUUACGUCCGGGGCUACACACGUGUUACAAUGGGGGGUACAGAGGGCUGCUACCACGCAAGUGGAUGCCAAUCCCAAAAACCUCUCUCAGUUCGGAUUGAAGUCUGCAACCCGACUUCAUGAAGCUGGAUUCGCUAGUAAUCGCGCAUCAGCCACGGCGCGGUGAAUACGUUCCCGGGCCUUGUACACACCGCCCGUCAAGCCAUGGGAGCCGGGGGUACCUGAAGUGCGUAACCGCAAGGAGCGCCCUAGGGUAAAACUGGUGACUGGGGCU